AUUUGUGUGCACCCACAGGAACCCAGGCAUUACCAGGUGGGCUUCAAAAUGUAUGAGGGCUCAAAUGCCUCUAGAAAGCAGCAGCUAGCAGAGCAGUGGAGUUUGUAACCUGGCUCUGUCCAUGGGCUUCUACAUCCAGCCCAAAAUAUUUAGUCCUCUCUGCCUUCGUUAAGCAGCCCAAUAAAAGACAAAAAGAGAUUCUUUGCACUCUUGUGAGUUGAACAAAGCAUGCCUGUGCUAUCUCAAUCUCUUGUUCGCCUAUCUCUUCCGUCCUAGUGCAAGGACACCCAGGAUGCUAGUGUCAUCAUUCCAAAACUAUACCCUCAUGGAAAGAAGCCUGCUUUCAAAAAGGGCCUAUCACCCCUCCUGAAUGAGGCCUGAGCCAGUGUCAGUGAUUAUAUCCCAACUUGUUCCUAUAGGUUCUGCCUACAUACUCAGGCCAGCCUCAAUAGAGAAAUGAAGCCCUCAAAACAGAACAGAAUUCUGUAUUUAUCUGGGGUGGAUAGGCAUGGGAAGCAGGAGCUAACAGUGAGUCUUCUUUACCUACUAGAAGGCACUAAGAAGAUAAUAAGCUGUACAUUUCCUGGGCUUGAAGGAACUCAAAGGUAGCCAGAGUGCAAAACAUACAGAAUGACUAAGCUAUAAUUCAAGGCAAAAUUUAACAUUUUCCCCUUAGGUAUUGUCUGUGAGGAGGGCAGCAGAUUUCUCACUCUUCAUGUUUCUGUCCAUGUGUAGUCUCCAGUAACUGUAACAUGGGGAGCCUAUCUCACCCAGAUUGUGUGAGACUAGAGGGAAGUGGAAAAGGAGUAAUUCUCAUGUCAAUUUGCAUCCUCAUUUAAUCUAACUCCAAAAUACUUCCUUCACUAAGCCUCCAUCACUGAAGAAGGUGAUGACUUAAGUUUCAUUUGAGUUUUUCUUUCUCCAUUUGUUCAGAAGUUGAAUAAGGAAAAAAGAACUAUUUGUUGGAGUAUUGGGACCCUUUCAAAGAGUCCCUGUAGACUAUAAAUGCUUCAGAUGGUCAAAGGCACAGAAGGCUGAGUGACUUUUUAAAAAAUCCAAGAAAGCUUGGUCAAGAGGCAAGGUCUCUGAGGAUUAGUUUAAUUUCAUUGGAUAUGGCCUAAAAGUAAAUGGAUGCACUCUUGGAGGAGAUCUUAUAAACCAAUGCACAGAGGGAAGGAGAAGCAUAACUACAUGUAAAGCAAUGACAAAGUAACCAGAGCCCAAAUGGAUAGAGGCAGAGUAUGGAGAACUGUGAGCAGUCCGUAUUUACUAAUCUGUUGGUUAAGAUGUAUUCCCAAAGGCUCUUCUAAAUUCAGGAGAAGUGACUGCAAGCAGAGUCAAUGAAGACUAAGAGGAAUGUCUACACAAAAACUACUGUGAAGACUCCAAGUGGAAUAAUAUGACUGUGAAGUCUACCUAGAGGUGUGAGAAAAUGUGGGCAAACACAAAUAUGACGUUGUACACUCCACCAGACCAGAAGUCCCACGUCAGAAACAACUACAGGACUGGCAACAUAAGAAAGGCUGGGUUGGGCUGGAAAGCAUCUAAGGAAAGUUUAAGGAGGCCCAUGGAAUGCUUGUUGAGGAAGACUCCAACCAAGGGUGAGCACGAUCCAGGGGCAAAUUGUGACUUGCAUGGGAAUUGGCCAGCAUGGGAUGUUGCUCCUGAGCAUUCAGCUACAGCCUCAGUCACCUUGGAGAGGGCCAAGAAAGACUGUUAGGCACCUCCAGUCAUGAAGGAUUCACCUAAGAUUCUGAGGAAACCCAUCUGACAUCCAGAGCAUCAGAAGGAAGAAAAUCCUCCAGAAUUGGUCCCUGACAGGUAGAUGUGGAAAAGGGUUGGCUGUCCCAGGAGGAAUACUUUAGGGUACUUCUCUUAGCAGUACAUCCAGCCUAGGUCAACUCCUGACCUGCAUUGAUUCAUAUACUGGUCAGAGGAGAAGCAUGUUGCUGGCUAAGAAUACUAUGCAGCACCAUUCCUGAGAAUUUCUGCUCAUCCCCUACCCUCACCCACUCACCCCACCCCUGCCACCCAGGAUCUUCACACAAGCAUCCGCAUAACUCCAGUGAGAUCAAACUCCAAUUACAGAAGCUCAUUAAAAGAAACUGACCCCUUCUUCUAAAGGCCAGAGGGCAGGCCUUAUCUCUACAGAGUCUUCAGAGUGGCUCCUGAGACCUCCAUCUGAUUCUAACAGCUAAGCUGGGGAGAUGCGGCCCCUGAGUCAAAGUCCUGUCACCUGAAAGGGAGGCUGAUGCUGAGGUAGACCUCUGCACUGGAGUGAAUGAGAGACCUGACACACUGUUGCACACAGAAUCCAUCAGGUGUAAGAGUUAAUGCUUAGCCAUUGUUGAUUUCCUAUUUCUUGUU